rnacentral:rRNA from 1 species
UACGGAGGAUGCGAGCGUUAUCCGGAUUUAUUGGGUUUAAAGGGUGCGUAGGCGGACGCUUAAGUCAGCGGUAAAAUUGCGGGGCUCAACCUCGUCGAGCCGUUGAAACUGGGUGUCUUGAGUGGGCGAGAAGUACGCGGAAUGCGUGGUGUAGCGGUGAGAUGCAUAGAUAUCACGCAGAACUCCGAUUGCGAAGGCAGCGUACCGGCGCCCAACUGACGCUGAAGCACGAAGGCGUGGGUAUCGAACAGG